GCCCCUGGUGCUUCCACAGGCUGUGUUCUUACACUAAUUGUACAGAUGAAGAGGAAGAAAAGUAAGCCUGCUCCAUAUACACUUCAACCCAGGCCCUGGGCCCGGUCUGUAUCAUGAAUGGGAAGAUAUGG
rnacentral:snoRNA from 1 species